rnacentral:lncRNA from 1 species
ACAAAGAUAGACAAGAAGCCUUUUCAAUUUAACAUAAUUCUUGAAUGGAAGCACAUAAAAAUAAUUAUUCUAAAUGAAGGGCCAUGAAACUGAUUAAAUAACUGAGAUAAUACUUGGCAAUACUGUUUACCAUGUCAAGCAAAAGCCGGAUAGGAAAAGGUCAUCUCAUGGCACUUUAUGGUCAAGGUAAAGAAAAGAAUUUGUCCGUAAAGAAACCUCUCAAUAAGAGAAAAUAGGA